rnacentral:tRNA from 1 species
AUAAAUUUAGUUUAAAUUAAAAUAUUUAUUUUACAAGUAAAAGAUUGUUAUUAUUAUUAAAUUUAUA